GUCGGGCCGACACUGUAAGCGAUCAGGACCCUACCAAAGAUCAGAUCUACACAAAACCGAUUUAACAGAAAAUCAGAUCGUAAAAGACUGCGGACAACCGACGGUCGGAUUUGAUCUCCAAUGUUCCUUUGAAUGGUCCGAGUCACUGUUUGGUGUAAGGGGAACUCCAGUCUUCAGUGAACCUAUAUAUGUCGGUCUAAAGUCCUUUGUGACGACAAUAUCCCCAAAUAAAGGUGGAUUUCUCAUACCCUGGCUGACCGAAACGCCAAUUGGAUGCAAGACAGAAACGAACACCACUGAUAGGUCUUGUUCCAUUGAGUUGGACCUUGAUACAGAAGGAGUUUGUCCUACACUUAAAUAUUCAACAGAUCACGCUCUGUGUGGCUCAAUCGGUAACGGAACAACAAAAGCCGGUUUAGACUAUUAUGGUCGAUUGCCGCUGCCAUAUGACAUAUAUUUAAGCAGUUCUGUAGGACGUGACGAAAAUGGAAACUAUCAAUCCAAUUAAACAUACUACGGGCUUAAAAUUGUUGUUUCUGACGAUGAGGCCCAUGUAUUUGGUAGUACGUUUAAGGCUUCAUUUGGCGCUGUUAGAACAGGUCAUGACAUCUGGAACGGCUACAAAGUGCCCGACAUUAAGUUUUAUUUCUACGACGAAAGUUUUGGAUACACAAAUUAUUUAGUUGUUUUAAAAUGGAACGGCGGACCCAU